CACACUGAUCGCACCUUUGGAAUAUGCAUCGGUACUGUCCUACAGCCGUCUCUGAUCAACGCUGGUUGAGAAAGAAAUGCACGGGGACUUCUUGUGGUGCAGUCAUGGUGUCCCUACCCCUGCACUGGGAGGGGUGAUAAUGCUGGUCAGGCCGGGAGGAGAACGCCGCGAUCUUAAAACGUCCAACAUGCCCACAGCACCGAAAUGAGUAAGGAGACACCGACCAACUUCGAUAUAGUUUGUCCGGCGGUGAGUGCCAAUCGCUUACCUGCCUUCCUCAUGCCAAGAGUGCUGACUAGUAAUUAAAUCAUAUUCAACUUUUGUCGAACCUACUGAUGAGGGGUGAGAAACACACUCAAUGCUGAAGUAAGGAGAGUGUGGUCUGUGCUAUUAAGUAUUUCAGUUCAAAAUUCGACAUACUGAAACAUAUAUCAGGCGUGGCCAUGACUAAGUCAUCCAUUAUUUCAAGAGCAAAAGCGAAAGACGGUGCCUUUUCAACAGACGCUCGAGCCUUGACAAGAGUUGCACGUGUUUGCGAACAGAAAAGAACUAACAGCAACAUUUGAUAAGAAGAAUGCAAGUGACUGAAAUGCCAAGACUGUUCAAUUCUUCUCGACCAUUAAACAGGGAAACUAUUCCAGAGCUUGGAUCGCAGCAAAAUACAAUUUAAAAUGCUUAGAUCUGGCAGGUGGUUAUUUUCAGUAGUCGCCCAUAUUUGGACAAUGAUAUUUAAAAUAUAUAAAAACAAAAUUGCCAUAUACUUAAAGCACAUUAUUGCUAGAUUUUUUUUUUUAAAAAAGACCCCCUUUUCCCGUGACUAUUGCUAUAAUGCAAUCACAGGUUAAAAAGUUACAUCCUGCUGCAAAGUUUCUUAUUCACCUUGUGUGUAAAAACAUUAAAAAAAAUAUUCAAUAUUAAAGCAUGACUGACCAAGUUUUGAAAAAGUAGUCUAGUUAAGGCAACUGGGCACAGUCCCCAAAGUGCAUCUAAUAACAUAAGAAAUAAAGGCAACACAGUUUUCACAA